CAGCAGCCGCGGUAACACGUAGGUGGUAAGCGUUGUCCGGAAUUAUUGGGCGUAAAGCGCGCGCAGGUGGAUAGGUCAGUCUGUCUUAGAAGUUCGGGGCUUAACCCCGUGAUGGGAUGGAAACUGCCAAUCUAGAGUAUCGGAGAGGAAAGUGGAAUUCCUAGUGUAGCGGUGAAAUGCGUAGAUAUUAGGAAGAACACCAGUGGCGAAGGCGACUUUCUGGACGAAAACUGACGCUGAGGCGCGAAAGCCAGGGGAGCGAACGGGAUUAGAUACCCCAGUAGUCCCUGUCUCUUAUACA
rnacentral:rRNA from 1 species